rnacentral:rRNA from 1 species
UACGUAGGGUGCAAGCGUUGUCCGGAAUUAUUGGGCGUAAAGGGCUCGUAGGCGGUCCGUCACGUCGGGAGUGAAAUCCUGGGGCUUAACCCCAGAACUGCUUCCGAUACGGGCAGACUAGAGGUAGGUAGGGGAGAAUGGAAUUCCUGGUGUAGCGGUGGAAUGCGCAGAUAUCAGGAGGAACACCAGUGGCGAAGGCGGUUCUCUGGGCCUUACCUGACGCUGAGGGGCGAAAGCGUGGGGAGCAAACAGG